CUCGGAGUCAGCAUACUGUGUCUGAGUGGGGUAAUCCAUUUAAAGGGUAACAACACACUAUGAACAGAAAAGAAUGACGAGAGGGUAACAACACACUAUGAACAGAAAAGAAUGACGAGAGGGAAGACAUUACCCUUGUGUCGAGCAAUAUACCAG